rnacentral:rRNA from 1 species
CAGCAGCCGCGGUAAAACGGAGAGUGCAAGCGUUAAUCGGAAUUACAGGGCGUAAAGCGUGCGCAGGCGGUUUGUUAAGACAGAUGUGAAAUCCCCGGGCUCAACCUGUGAAUGGCAAUGGAUACUGGCGAGCUAGAGUGUGUCAGAGGAUGGUGGAAUUCCCGGUGUAGCGGUGAAAUGCGUAGAGAUCGGGAGGAACAUCAGUGGCGAAGGCGGCCAUCUGGGACAACACUGACGCUGAGGCACGAAAGCGUGGGGAGCAAACAGGAUUAGAUACCCCCGUAGUCCCUGUCUCUUAUAC